GAAUCUUCCACAAUGGACGAAAGUCUGAUGGAGCAAUCCCGCGGGGGGAAAGAAGGUUUUCGGUUCGUAAAACUCUGUUGUGGGGGAGGAACAAGUAGGAGGGUAACUCCUCUUACCUGAACGGUACCCACUUAGAAAGCAACGGUUAACUACUUGCAACCAGCCGCGGUAAUCCGUAGGUGGCAAGCGUUGCCCGGAAUUAUUGGGCGUAAAGCGCGCGCAGGCGGUCCUUUAAGUCUGAUGUGAAAUCCCACGGCUCAACCGUGGAAGGUCAUUGGAAACUGGGGGACUUGAGUACAGAAGAGGAAAGCGGAAUUCCAAGUGUAGCGGUGAAAUGCGUAGAGAUUUGGAGGAACACCAGUGGCGAAGGCGGCUUUCUGGUCUGUAACUGACGCUGAGGCGCGAAAGCGUGGGGAGCAAACA
rnacentral:rRNA from 1 species